UACGUAGGGGGCAAGCGUUAUCCGGAUUUACUGGGUGUAAAGGGAGCGUAGACGGCGAUGCAAGCCAGAUGUGAAAGCCCGGGGCUCAACCCCGGGACUGCAUUUGGAACUGUGUGGCUGGAGUGUCGGAGAGGUAAGCGGAAUUCCUAGUGUAGCGGUGAAAUGCGUAGAUAUUAGGAGGAACACCAGUGGCGAAGGCGGCUUACUGGACGGCAACUGACGCUGAGGCUCGAAAGCGUGGGGAGCAAACAGG
rnacentral:rRNA from 1 species